rnacentral:rRNA from 1 species
AACGAACGCUGGCGGCAUGCCUAACACAUGCAAGUCGAACGAGAUCUUCGGGUCUAGUGGCGCACGGGUGCGUAACGCGUGGGAAUCUGCCCUUUGGUUCGGUAUACCAGUUGGAAACGACUGCUAAUACCGGAUGAUGACGAUAGUCCAUAGAUUUAUCGCCAGAGGAUGAGCCCGCGUUGGAUUAGCUAGUUGGUGUGGUAAAGGCGCACCAAGGCGACGAUCCUUAGCUGGUCUGAGAGGAUGAUCAGCCACACUGGGACUGAGACACGGCCCAGACUCCUACGGGAGGCAGCAGUGGGGAAUAUUGGACAAUGGGCGAAAGCCUGAUCCAGCAAUGCCGCGUGAGUGAUGAAGGCCUUAGGGUUGUAAAGCUCUUUUACCCGGGAUGAUAAUGACAGUACCGGGAGAAUAAGCUCCGGCUAACUCCGUGCCAGCAGCCGCGGUAA